AUGUUCAUCAAAAAUACCAACCUACGACACCCCAGUCGCCACCAUGAAUUAUUUCUGCCUAGUCGACCCUACAAGGGAGAACCGCCGGCAGUGGCAGGAUUUCUCCUUUACCCGGAUACUCCUGCUAAGAUGGAGACCACAUCAAGAGAGGCUUUCUGCUUUCGACCCGUUGAACAACGAGACAGGGACAAAGGAGUUCAUAUCCUCCAGAAAACACAGCUGGAGUCCCGCCGUUCUUGUCCCACAUCCUCGAGACAAACAGGACGAGGAACCAGCAGCAGGGACGGGGAACCCGGGGAGGACGAGCAAGAAGGCAACCGUGAUCAGACGGGGUCGACAGCAGUGAAAACUGAACCAGAUUCAAUAGAGAUGCAGUCUCAGUAUCAGAAGGACUUCCCUCCUCCGACUUCCUGCCGCAGGAGACGAACACCUGCCCUCCCACAGCCAGACAACAUCGGCAUCAACCCUGCCUUCAGGAUUGAGUUUAGCACGGUCCAAAGAGAGACUUUCCCUGGUUGGCCAAUCAUAAAUCCCAGGUAUGCUGGGAGGAUGAGAGCAGCUUUGUCCAGACAACCAAACAUGAUUUCUGAGUAA
rnacentral:lncRNA from 1 species